rnacentral:rRNA from 1 species
CUACGGGAGGCAGCAGUGGGGAAUAUUGCACAAUGGGCGCAAGCCUGAUGCCGCCAUGCCGUGUGUGUGAAGAAGGCCUUCGGGUUGUAAAGCACUUUCAGCGGGGAGGAAGGCGGUGAGGUUAAUAACCUCAUCGAUUGACGUUACCCGCAGAAGAAGCACCGGCUAACUCCGUGCCAGCAGCCGCGGUAAUACGGAGGGUGCAAGCGUUAAUCGGAAUUACUGGGCGUAAAGCGCACGCAGGCGGUCUGUCAAGUCGGAUGUGAAAUCCCCGGGCUCAACCUGGGAACUGCAUUCGAAACUGGCAGGCUAGAGUCUUGUAGAGGGGGGUAGAAUUCCAGGUGUAGCGGUGAAAUGCGUAGAGAUCUGGAGGAAUACCGGUGGCGAAGGCGGCCCCCUGGACAAAGACUGACGCUCAGGUGCGAAAGCGUGGGGAGCAAACAGGAUUAGAUACCCCUGUAGUC